rnacentral:lncRNA from 1 species
UGUUGUUUCAACUGAUUCCUGGUCUCCUUACAUAACUUAAAAACUCUUUCCUGUUUAAAUAAUUAAAACAAAUCUUAAUAAACUAAACAUAAUUUAUUCCAACUAAAUUACAUAGCUGAUAAAAUAAUACAAUAGAAAUCUUUAAACUUCCAUAAAAAUUCCUAACAACAAACGCACGUGCGUUUAUUUACAAGUUACCGGAUGUUUACAACAAUCAGCUGAUGCACGUCACAGCCAUCGUGACGUAUCAUAUUCCUAACAUACCAGAGUUCAGAGAAGGUUUCAGUGUUAUCACAUGCUGUGCGCAUGAAAUCGGAUUACAUUAAUCAUUACAAACACGCG